ACUAGCUCAUUGGUAGAGCACUCGGCUGUUAACCGAUUGGUAGUAGGUUCAAAUCCUACGUAUAA
rnacentral:tRNA from 1 species